rnacentral:rRNA from 1 species
GACGAACGCUGGCGGCGUGCUUAACACAUGCAAGUCGAACGGGAAGGCCCUGCUUUUGUGGGGUGCUCGAGUGGCGAACGGGUGAGUAACCCGUGAGUAACCUGCCCUUGCCUUUGGGAUAACUUAAGGAAACUGGGGCUAAUACCGGAUAGGAGCUCCUGCUGCAUGGUGGGGGUUGGAAAGUUUCGGCGGUUGGGGAUGGACUCGCGGCUUAUCAGCUUGUUGGUGGGGUAGUGGCUUACCAAGGCUUUGACGGGUAGCCGGCCUGAGAGGGUGACCGGCCACAUUGGGACUGAGAUACGACCCAGACUCCUACGGGAGGCAGCAGUGGGGAAUAGUGCACAAUGGGCGGAAGCCUGAUGCAGCAACGCCGCGUGCGGGAUGACGGCCUUCGGGUUGUAAACCGAUGUCGCCUGUGACGAAGCGUGAGUGACGGUAAUGGGUAAAGAAGCACCGGCUAACUACGUG